rnacentral:rRNA from 1 species
UGAAACCGUUUAGGGGUAAACCUGAGAAACCCGAAAGGUCGAAGGAAGAAAUUCAUUCGCGUUUCGUAGUUAACGGAGAAAGGAAUUGUGUGACGAAAAUUGUUCUUGUAUCAAUUUUUGCACCGUCUUUUCUUUCGAAUUAAUUACGAACGUGUGCACUUUUCUUUUGGUAGAACGUCGCGAUCCGUUGGGUGUCGAUUUAAGGUUCACGGUGGAGUCCAUUUUAUCUAAAUGUGUAAAAUGAACCCGUGUUAUUCCCGAUCGACUCACUCGACGGUAUAAAAAAGGUUAAAGGCCGCUCUCAUUUAUGAAGCGUUCGACUCGUAAUAAAUGCAUUAGUUUUUGUUGAAGUUCGGACCUAGUGCCGAUCCCAACAGCUAAUGAAUUGUUUUAUUGCGAAGAUUCUCGAACAGACCUUAUAAUUAUAUAAAACCGAUCAGCGACGAUAUAGAUUUGGGUACUUUCAGGACCCGUCUUGAAACACGGACCAAGGAGUCCAGCAUAUACGCAAGUCAUUGGGACUAAAUUAAACCUAAAGGCAUAAUGAAAGUAAAAAAUUUUCCUUGUGAAAAUUAAAGGGAAGACAAGUGUGUAGUUAAUACACAAUAUCACUUUGCAUUCC